AUAACGCAUGUUCCGGGAACAUCAACAAUCAACCGAAUAUCUUCAGUCAAACAGAUGAAUCACUCAACCCAUUCAACGAUGGAGAUAGUUUUGCUCUAAUUAGACGGGACAUCAAUGAAAAAAUGGAACUUACAGAGUUGCUCAACAAGUGGGAAAUUCUAAAGACGCAAGAUGGACUCUUCGAACACUUUAAGAAUCUAACAGAAACUGACAUCCAAACUAUGACUCCAAAGCUCAGGGAUAAAUACAGUUAUGAUUUACUUUGCAUGCAUGAAGAAAGAAUUCGAAGGACAAAAAGACCUGGAGAAAUUGAUAAAAGCGAUUUGCCACUAUUUCAAGGAAGAUGCUGACACAAUUUUGCAACACCAAGAGAUCAAUUCGCAAAAUCUCAUGACGUCACAUCCUGGGGUUUAUAUUAUAGAAAACACAGGAGAUCACAUGAUAUUCUACAAAGGGCAGGAGAUUCAGAAAGGAGCAAAUAACUGGGAAGCGUUUGAA